rnacentral:rRNA from 1 species
UUCCGGUUGAUCCUGCCGGACCCGACUGCUAUUGGGGUGAGGCUAAGCCAUGCGAGUCAGCGCUUCUAACCAUGAUGAGGCGCGGCAUACGGCUCAGUAACAUGUGGUCAAUCUACCCUCAGGACGGGGACACCCUCGGGAAACUGAGGCUGAUCCCAGAUAGAUAAUGGAUCCUGGAAUGGUUCUUUAUCCAAAUGAUACGGAGCUCAUGUGUUUCGUGUCGCCUGAGGAUGAGACCGCACCCUAUCAGGUAGUUGGUGGGGUAACGGCCCACCAAGCCUAUAACGGGUACGGGCCCUGAGAGGGGGAGCCCGGAGAUGGGUACUGAGACAAGGACCCAGGCCCUACGGGGCGCAGCAGGCGCGAGACCUCUGCAAUGCGCGAAAGCGCGACAGGGCCACCCCGAGUGCUAGACGCUGAGUCUAGCUUUUCCUUAGUGUAGUAAGCUAGGGGAAUAAGCGGGGGGCAAGCCUGGUGUCAGCCGCCGCGGUAAUACCAGCUCCGCGAGUGGUCGGGACGAUUAUUGGGCCUAAAGCGUCCGUAGCCGGCCUAGCAAGUCUCUGGUUAAACUUCAGGGCUUAACCUUGAGAUUGCUGGAGAUACUGCUUGGCUAGGGGGCGGGAGAGGUUGAGGGUACUUCACGGGUAGGGGCGAAAUCCUAUAAUCCGUGAAGGACCACCAGUGGCGAAGGCGCUCAACUGGAACGCGCCCGACGGUGAGGGACGAAAGCCAGGGGAGCAAAGGGGAUUAGAUACCCCCGUAGUCCUGGCUGUAAACGAUGCGGGCUAGGUGUUGGGUUGGCUUCGUGCCAACUCGGUGCCGCAGUGAAGGCGAUAAGCCCGCCGCCUGGGAAGUACGGCUGCAAGGCUGAAACUUAAAGGAAUUGGCGGGGGAGCACCACAAGGGGUGAAGCCUGCGGCUUAAUUGGAUUCAACGCCGGAUAA